UUGGAGGGCAAGUCUGGUGCCAGCAGCCGCGGUAAUUCCAGCUCCAAUAGCGUAUAUUAAAGUUGUUGCAGUUAAAAAGCUCGUAGUUGAAUUUCGGGAUCAGAUUGUCGGUCGUGCCUCGGUACGCACUGGCAUUAUUGGUUCCUACCUUCUGAAGAACCGCGAUGUCAUUAAUUUGGUGUCGUGGGGAAUCAGGACUGUUACUUUGAAAAAAUUAGGGUGUUUAAAGCAGGCUUACGCUUGAAUACAUUAGCAUGGAAUAAUGAAAUAGGACGUUUGAUUCUAUUUUGUUGGUUUCUAGGAUUGACGUAAUGAUUAAUAGGGAUAGUUGGGGGCAUUAGUAUUCAAUUGUCAGAGGUGAAAUUCUUGGAUUUAUUGAAGACUAACUACUGCGAAAGCAUUUGCCAAGGAUGUUUUCAUUAAUCAAGAACGAAAGUUAGGGGAUCGAAGACGAUCAGAUACCGUCGUAGUCUUAACCAUAAACUAUGCCGACUAGGGAUCGGAUGAUGUUAAUUUUUUAAUGACUCAUUCGGCGCCUUACGGGAAACCAAAGUGUUUGGGUUC
rnacentral:rRNA from 1 species